UACGGAGGGUGCAAGCGUUGUCCGGAUUUAUUGGGUUUAAAGGGUGCGUAGGCGGUCUUUUAAGUCAGUGGUGAAAGCCUCCAGCUUAACUGGAGAAUUGCCAUUGAUACUGGAAGACUUGAGUACAGACGAGGUAGGCGGAAUUUAUGGUGUAGCGGUGAAAUGCAUAGAUACCAUAAAGAACUCCUAUUGCGAAGGCAGCUUACUAGGCUGUAACUGACGCUGAGGCACGAAAGCGUGGGGAUCAAACAGG
rnacentral:rRNA from 1 species